GAAUCUCAAGGACUGAAUUAGAAGCGGAGGAACCAACUUAUUGGGGGCGAAUCUUUAGAUAAAGAAAGGCACCUUCCAGCCUUAGCCCGUCAGCUAACUCCGUAGGCAUUGGAAGGAGUAUCA
rnacentral:sRNA from 2 species